rnacentral:lncRNA from 1 species
CAAGGUAAUAGAUCCUUAAAUAAUAAAGUGAAAGGGGAGAUAGGAAAGUUGGGUGGGAACAAAACUAGCUCAGUGUGUUAGAGAGAUUAUUGUUUGAGUUCCCAGUAUUUAACGGCUGGGUUCGCAGUGGGGCAACUGAAUUCAGCAGCAGUGUUGUUCUGGCCAGUUAUUCGGUGGGAAUGUCGACCUGAGCAACAACACCGUGAAAAAGCCAGAGGGCCUGUAGAAGCAGCCGGAAUCAACGGAGCACAGACAAUUCAGAUUCUUCAUCCAGGGACUGCUGCCGCACUGAAGCCAAGACUCACUAACAGCCACUGCUAGGAAGGUGACAACACCUCACGAUAAACUCUUGACAAUCAUAUAACUCUGCUGGCAGUCGGCUUAGGAGAUCAGAGAAAUGGAAUAGGAACUUUCGUGGUAUCCCUUGUAGGAGAAAAGAUUAAAGUGUAGCACAGAACAGAGCUCCUUUUGUGGCAAGGCCAAAGAACGUCAAUGCAACAACCAAACACCAUAUGCCAGGAAACCUGAACAUUCUGUUAGGCACAAACCCCGUUGGAGGACAAAUUCACCUCAAAUAUGGAUGUCAGAAGAAGAAAACGACAUGAGACAAGUGUUAUUUUAUGCCCUGAACACACCACUUUACAUGGUGGCUUUUAGCACUCUGUUUACAGAAAGCUAAACUUUCAUGUCUUAGAAAGGAAAUAGCUACAGGAGCCAAUUAAAGGACCAAACUGCUUUCUUAAAAUGUACCAGAACCUUAACAAAGUCCGCUAAAAUAUGACUUUCAGGAGGACAUGAGCAAUUGUUAUUUGAAAUCCAACAACACCACCAAAACUUUCUAGCCCUGUUUUGAUGUUCCUCCUCUAUUAGGAAGCUUAUAAUUAGUUUAUGAUACAUUUAUAAAGAAUCAAGAAGUAAUCAAUGAAGAAAUUAGUGACAUUUUAGUGAAUAAUUAGUGAAUAAUUAAUAAAUAAAUGAAUGAAGACA